rnacentral:rRNA from 1 species
UACGUAGGUGGCAAGCGUUGUCCGGAUUUACUGGGUGUAAAGGGAGCGCAGGCGGGACGGCAAGUUGGAUGUGAAAAACUGAGGCUCAACCUCAGUCCUGCAUCCAAAACUGUUGUUCUUGAGUGGAGCAGGAGGUAAGCGGAAUUCCGAGUGUAGCGGUGAAAUGCGUAGAUAUUCGGAGGAACACCAGUGGCGAAGGCGGCUUACUGGACUCUAACUGACGCUGAGGCUCGAAAGCGUGGGGAGCAAACAGGAUUAGAUACCCCGGUAGU